UACGUAGGGGGCAAGCGUUGUCCGGAUUUAUUGGGCGUAAAGAGCGUGUAGGCGGCCAAGCAAGUCUGCUGUGAAAACUCGAGGCUUAACCUCGAGCUGUCGGCAGAAACUAUUUGGCUAGAGUCCGGAAGAGGAGAAUGGAAUUCCCGGUGUAGCGGUGAAAUGCGCAGAUAUCGGGAAGAACACCCGUGGCGAAGGCGGUUCUCUGGGACGGUACUGACGCUGAGACGCGAAAGCGUGGGGAGCGAACAGG
rnacentral:rRNA from 1 species